rnacentral:rRNA from 1 species
GACGAACGCUGGCGGCGUGCUUAACACAUGCAAGUCGAACGGAAAGGCCCUGCUUUUGUUGGGUGCUCGAGUGGCGAACGGGUGAGUAACACGUGAGUAACCUGCCCUUGACUUUGGGAUAACUUCAGGAAACUGGGGCUAAUACCGGAUAGGAGCUCCUGCUGCAUGUUGGGGGUUGUAAAGUUUCGGCGGUUGGGGAUGGACUCGCGGCUUAUCAGCUUGUUGGUGGGGUAGUGGCUUACCAAGGCUUUGACGGGUAGCCGGCCUGAGAGGGUGACCGGCCACAUUGGGACUGAGAUACGGCCCAGACUCCUACGGGAGGCAGCAGUGGGGAAUAUUGCACAAUGGGCGGAAGCCUGAUGCAGCAACGCCGCGUGCGGGAUGAAGGCCUUCGGGUUGUAAACCGCUUUCGCCUGUGACGAAGCGUGAGUGACGGUAAUGGGUAAAGAAGCACCGGCUAACUACGUG